AUUGAACGCUGGCGGCAUGCCUUACACAUGCAAGUCGAACGGUAACAGGUCUUCGGAUGCUGACGAGUGGCGAACGGGUGAGUAAUACAUCGGAACGUGCCCGAUCGUGGGGGAUAACGAAGCGAAAGCUUUGCUAAUACCGCAUACGAUCUACGGAUGAAAGCGGGGGAUCUUCGGACCUCGCGCGGACGGAGCGGCCGAUGGCAGAUUAGGUAGUUGGUGGGAUAAAAGCUUACCAAGCCGACGAUCUGUAGCUGGUCUGAGAGGAUGAUCAGCCACACUGGGACUGAGAGACGGCCCAGACUCCUACGGGAGGCAGCAGUGGGGAAUUUUGGACAAUGGGCGCAAGCCUGAUCCAGCCAUGCCGCGUGCAGGAUGAAGGCCUUCGGGUUGUAAACUGCUUUUGUACGGAACGAAAAGGUGCCUUCUAAUAAAGGGCGCUCAUGACGGUACCGUAAGAAUAAGCACCGGCUAACUACGUG
rnacentral:rRNA from 1 species